CUCGGCAAACACAAGCCUCGCCUGUUUACCAAAAACAUCGCCUCCUGCAAUACAAUCAAGUAUAGGAGGUCCAGCCUGCCCAGUGACCACAAGUUCAACGGCCGCGGUAUUUUGACCGUGCAAAGGUAGCGCAAUCACUUGUCUUUUAAAUAGAGACCUGUAUGAAUGGCCAAACGAGGGCUUAACUGUCUCCCUUUUCAAGUCAGUGAAAUUGAUCUACCCGUGCAGAGGCGGGUAUAACAAUACAAGACGAGAAGACCCUUUGGAGCUUAAGGUACAAAACUCAACCACGUCAAGCAACUUAAUAAAAAGUAAAAACUUUGUGAAGCAUGAGAUUUUACCUUCGGUUGGGGCGACCACGGAGGAAAAAAAAGCCUCCAAGUGGACCGGGACAAACUCCUAAAACCAAGAGAGACAUCUCUAAGCCACAGAACAUCUGACCAAACAUGAUCCGGCCACCAGGACCGAUCAACGAACCAAGUUACCCUAGGGAUAACAGCGCAAUCCCCUCCCAGAGUCCAUAUCGACGAGGGGGUUUACGACCUCGAUGUUGGAUCAGGACAUCCUAAUGGUGCAGCCGCUAUUAAGGGUUCGUU
rnacentral:rRNA from 1 species